UACGUAGGGUGCAAGCGUUGUCCGGAAUUAUUGGGCGUAAAGAGCUCGUAGGCGGUCUGUCACGUCGGCUGUGAAAACCCGGGGCUCAACCCCGGGCCUGCAGUCGAUACGGGCAGACUAGAGUGCGGUAGGGGAGACUGGAAUUCCUGGUGUAGCGGUGAAAUGCGCAGACAUCAGGAGGAACACCGGUGGCGAAGGCGGGUCUCUGGGCCGAUACUGACGCUGAGGAGCGAAAGCGUGGGGAGCGAACAGG
rnacentral:rRNA from 1 species